GUCAAUGGUUACUUUGAUCAGAUUCGCGCGAUCAUCAUUGUCUUUCAUCGUCUUUUUAUUUAUUUAGGUUAAAGGUAAAUCUCGACUGCAUCUUACCCGAAGCGGUUCGCGAGUUGAUAAAAACGCGGACGAGAUAGGGUGGUUGUACGCGUACACUCGUUUACGGAUGUUUACGGAUUUAAGCGAUCCCUAAAGCAAAGCUUAAAUAUGAGGAUUCCUUACAGCGUUCCCAAGAACGUUUUUGAAGCGUACAGAUGUUCGCACGAAACAACGCGUUUAACCAACGAACGCGAAAGAAGCAUUCGAGCGGAAGAUGAAUUCUGGGACGAGAGAAACGUUCCAAGCUUGAAGACCCUCGCUCUUCGUGUCAUAGCCUCAUCGUGGAAGGACAACCCUAUAUUAGAAGAACUACCGACCUGCGAAGAUAGACAUAUGCUCAUGGAAAUUCUACCCGUCGAUUUGCCGUUUAAACUGACUAUUAGGAGAAUCGAGGAUGAACAGUAUUGGGCACGAUGCUCGAGAACCAGAUGGGAGCACAACAAUCCCGCUGAACACGGCAAUUCCUGGCGACGACUCUACUGCGAGGGCCAUCUUUGCGAAUAUUUCGAGAAUCUAGAGCCAAGUUACUUCGAAUCUCAGCAAGAGGAAUGCGAAGAAACGAUCCGACUUGUGAGAAAUUACGUGCACACCUUAGCACUGCGUUCUCUUCGACCUACCAAAAAACGUACGAUUCUAUUGGACGACGAGGAUACGUGUACAGAAGAGGAUAAUAUCGUGCAUCAUAUCCCUUUUGCGACGAUUCUACCUCGGCUUCCUCGUCUCACCGAGAUUCGCAUUAACUUCGGAGUGAUUUACACGAACGACGGCUUCGAAUGGCGAGACUUCGAAUUCUCCGUAGAAGAUUGCUUGGGCCUUGGAAAAGGGAUCGAAGCUUGUCCGACAUUGAGGAGAUUCACUCUGUCGAGAAGCAAUUUGGAUCAACCACGUGCCGCGGCUUUACUUCAAGGGAUAUUGGCCAACGAUCAUAUAGAGGAGUUAGACUUCUCGCACUGCAAGUUGGCAGACAAAGGAGCCCAUGCUGUUGGAGAAUUUCUACGAAUGCACAAGGGUUUGAAGGUCCUACAUUUGGCUAACAACGAUAUAGGACCGGAUGGUGUGGCAGGGAUAAUGUACGGAUUGCUUAAAAGAGAAGACGCUUCGAUGCUGAACGAUCUAAAUUUGAAAUUGAACCCACUGCUGGACGAUGGAGUGGUUCACAUAUGUUCCUUUCUAUUACGAAGUGACAGUUUAGAAGUUCUCGACUUAAGCGGCUGCGGAAUAACGGCUGACGGAGGUACAGCCUUAGCCGAAGUAUUGGGUUCUGGUUCUACGAAGUUCCGAACUUUUAGCCUCGACGUGUCCAAUAAUGAUUUUAACGAAACAGUUGGCGAGGCAUUCGAGGCUGCAUCAAGGUCCGCUGCGUUUAUCAUCGGUUUCACCGCUCGAAUGUGUAAUUUCUCUAAACAAUCGGAGCUGUCUAUCUACGAGAACGUGCUCAGGAAUAGGAAGAACAGGAAGAAGGAAGAAGCGAAACGCAUGAUGCUCGAACAACUAGAAAAACCAACGACGACCACCGACGAUUCCUCGCUAUCGUUAGUUUAGUUGAAAACCGCUUAAAAAUUUCUUUAAAAAUAACAGAUUUAUAAAUUUCGACGUUUCUAAAUGGAAAAAUUUGUUAAUUUGAAAAAUGUUGCGCAACCGAAUAUUAUUUUUCCUCGGGCAUUAAAUUUGCCCGUCGCUCUUUCGGACCGCUUCUCGUUUCGUGACUGUGAACGGGUAAAGGGUUAAAGAUACAUAAGAUAACGAGAAUGACCAGUGUAACGGAGUAGCACCGGUGAAAAAGAAGCGGCAACAAAAGAGCAACGAAACGGGGGUGCAGCUUCUUCCAGGAAGUUACGCGAAUGCCUUAGCAAGCGUGACCGAACUCGAAAGAAGCGAUCGAAACACCGAUGGAAAUGCUUGAAAAGUAUUUUAUAAAAUGACGGAGUUAAACGAAGAAGGGACUAGUACCUCCUAGGAACGUCAGAUUCUUCAGUGAAGAGCUACUCAACUUAUAGUUCUCGUUAACCGGUGCUUACGGCUUCGUCGUUUUCCAUACGAGCAACUCUUUCUUCUUAUCGCCAGAAGCAUUUAUACACAUACUUUUCCCUGCUAAAUGUCUCCGAAAUUCUUCACUUAUCGUUCACUUAUCGUUCACUUAUCGUUUACUUAUCGUUCCUAUAUUUUAUUCGAAAUAUUUCAAUGAUUUAUAUUCGAUACGUAAGCAUGUACCGUUAACGGAUUGUCAAUCUUUACGUAUAAUGGGAAAAUGUGUGCGACAUUCGCGUGAUCGAUACGAACGUGAUCAAACAUAAAUUGCACGAAAAAAAUAAGAAAACGGUAUCGAUCGAAACAGGCGAGCAGCACGGUUCGAUCACGCAUACAGAAGUUCGUCAGAAGCUUUCGAGCUGACAACUUGAUAUCCCUACUUAACUUCAUUUAUCUUUUGUCACGACCUUUACACGUAGCUUUCCAACAGUAAGGAUCCUUCCGAUUUCCCUAAACGUCAAGGUCCUGUCCUCGACUCCAACCUAGGCCUUCUUCGAUUUCCAUUAGAUACGAACACUGUACGGUACUGUACAACCUUAAAUAGAAUCGAGUUCAAUAGGACGUGCUAAUGCUCCUCUAACCUUUACGCUUUCAUUGAAAAAAAGGAAAAAAAGGAAAAAAGGGGAAAAAAGUGGAAGCUCGUAUCUAAGAAGGUUAAGUCAGGCCCGAGCAAAGAAAACAAGGGAAACAAUGAAGGCUUCUUCGAUAUCUGUGACAAAGAGACGGAUGGUGGUUGCAUAUAGCAAUCGGUAAAACUCAUUCGAUAUUCCGCGUUUAGUCGUAAUAAACCAAGUACUCUUAGGUACUAGGAAUUUUUUAUUGAAGAUUGCAUUAAAUGGUCAUUGGGUACCGUUCCGAGCGUACUUAUUUCGUCUUUUUUUUUCUAGUCGCCGCCAACCCUGGCGCCGACUCUCGAAAACGAUCGAAAAGUUGAAUUUCGCAGUCGCUCAUGAGCUGAAAGCAACUGAAAACGCGUAUCGCGAAAAAAGCAUCGGACUUUCCUCGCCAGUUUCUUAGAUGUUUUAAUUGCGCUAUUUCGCUGCAAUACACUUAGCACUCGAGCCAAGUUUGAAAAUUGUGUCAAGAGAGUGCGUUUGCAGGGACAAAAGAAUCACAGGACAUUUCACGGGGACACGAAUCUUGGUCAGAAUUGGAAAAAAGAUACUGGUAUACCGUUAGGGGAUAUCGUCGUUCGAAUAAAUUACCGAUUAAAAAGACCGACAUCUUCGAACGCUCCGAAAUCGAUAAUUAUAUCGUACGCGAAAGAAUUUGAAGAGAAAAAGGAAAAAAUGAAUUACUCGUUUUCUGACCGGUUGUAUCAUGAUUCUUUCGAUUUUUCCAAAAGUAAAUAACGCGUAUCGUUAUCGUUCGCUCGCAACAACAAGAUCUCGCAACGUUUCACGAAAUAGUAAUCGUCCUGACAUACUUUUAGACUGGCAAGAGCAUAAAAGCUGGAUCGAUAUCUAACGGGCAAGUGUGCCUGGUUGGAGAAAAACGGCGUGAAAGGUCUUAGGUUGGUUAGGUAGGCACGUAAUCCGCAAAUUUGAUCGGCGACGACGAGAAACGAGACGAAACGAGACGAAACGAGACGAAUCGUGUCUUCCGAAUAUUCGAUUUAUCGAACAUACAUAUAUGUAGAAGAAUGCCAGAUUAGUUAGCACGAAACGUACAGGUGGUUCGGCCACGAUUCGAAACUCGUUUGUUCGCGAAGGGAAGAGAGCUGCAUCUCCCUCAUGCAAGAACAAGACACCGAACCGCUUAAAACCUCCUGAAAAUCAAUCGAAAAAGAAGCCUUUACGAACUUUUUCCGCUAAUCUGACGUUUCUGUUUGCCAAGACUUCGAGUGGGAACGGUUGCUCGUUGAAAGACGGCCAAAACUACCCUCUUCCGUUUCUGUCGAGGAAUUAAUAAAACCGAAGCACCGAGAAGAAACGGUGUUGUUUCGCUGAUUAGUCGUUUUUCUACCUACCUUUGGCAUCGUUCGCAUCCUUCUUACCUCGAUAGUGAUCGAUCAUUCGCCACGCGAUCGCUUUAAUCGGUCAGUUGGAAAUCGAUCAUUUACACUUUCUAUUCGAGUGGUGAAACUGUGCCGCCUUCCUUUCAUCGAAAGCAUUUUAAACACGCUCGACCGAGAAUCAUUUGGAAAUUCUUCGAGUUGGUCGAAUGUGAAAAUUCAACGCGCUUCCGGUCGAUAGAAGGAUCGUAGCGAGUCGUAACCCCCGAUAUUUGCUUUCGGCCGAAAGCAACGUCAACCUUGAAGCAAGCUGCGAAGCAGCACCCUUGAAACGCUACGUGAAUAUUUUACGACCGACUAACGUGGCAAUAGGCGUCUUUCUACAUGCAUACAGGCCUCGAAAUCUCUAUUCUCGCGAAAAUGCCUCUGAAAAUCCUCCUGAAAAUCCUAAUAACCUUCCUAUCAUAUCACCAGUAAUAAUACUGGUCCGUAGCCGUUUUAAUUUCGAAUAGACUUCGAAAAGACGAAUCGUUAUGUAUAGAUAUAGGAUAUGUAUGUAUACAGAAUGGAAGGAAUAAGCGAAUGGCAAAUACGAGGAAUAUUUCUAGCAAAGGUAGAACACGCCGUAUGCAUAACGGGUUAGGUGUUCGUGAGCUGUUCGAAAUAAGGUCUCGCUGGAACGUUUUGCUCGCUCUGCUUCCAUGAAUAUUCAUGCAAAUAUAAUUAUAACCAAGAAAAUUGAUGGGCGACUAGGCACGACGAGAAUACACACGAUUCGUACAGGCCCUUUGGCCGAAAGAAAAUUUAAUCGUAAACUACCGUAAUAAGGCUGAUGCGAGAUAACAGAAAUUUAUUUUAUUUAGUUUUCAUUUGUAAAUUCUCUAGUUUUAUUUUAUUCUUACUCUAAUCAAGAUUAACAAACUAAUAU
rnacentral:misc_RNA from 1 species